rnacentral:lncRNA from 1 species
UCUUUUUCUGUGUCUGAUUUUCUGUUAAAGCAAUACACUGAGUUUAAACUUUAGUGAUUGUAUUUUUUUUUUGGUACCGGGGAUUGAACUUGGGUCUUUGUGCUUGAGCAGCAGGCGGCGAUACCACUGAGCUAAAUCCCCGGCCCCUCAUUUGGCUAUUUUUCAGUGUGUUUUCACUUUUCAUAGUUUUCUAUCCCUGCAGAUAUUUUCAAAUUACCAUAUAUUUAAAAAUACAUAGUAAGCACAGUUUUAUAAUGUAUACCUGAUAUCUCUAACAUCUGAAGUCUUAACAGGUCUUUUUCAAUUGUCUUUUAUUUAUGCAGAUUUUUGCCCGUGAUGUUUUUGCCAUUAUGCGCUGCAAGCACGUACACAGGAAGAAAAGCUUAGGGUUAGGGUUUCUUUUUUUUUUUGGUACCGGGGAUCGAACUCGGGUCUUUGCGCUUGCCCAGCAGGCGAGGGUUAUGGUUUCUAUUGAGGGAGACCGAAAAAGCAUGGCUUGACAUGCUGUUCUUGGGAGGAAAAAGGUAAUGAGAACUCAUGAAAUCCUACGGAGGUUCAGAAGAAGUGAGGGAGCCUCAGGUAUUUUUGGUAGCCGUUUUCAUCACCUGGGAAGAGCAAGGCUCAGAGGACAACACGAAAACCAUGACUGGCAUCCAUCGCCCUCACCUCCCGUACUCCCUGGCUCAGCAUGGUGAGCGACAAGAGGGCUUGCCAGAAAAUCUCGUCAUGGGCAAAUCUACAAACGUCUCCUUGGGAUUCUGUGAUGCUGGCCUGCCUGUAACUUUAGAGUCUGGAAAGUCUAAGUUCACCUGGGAACAUCUGGCAAGGGUGAUCUUGCUGCAUCCUCACAUGGUGGAAGUGUCUGUAUGGAGGAGAAAGGCAAACCCUGCAAUGUACUGCUUGGAAACUAUGAUCUAUCCUCACCUUAAUGAUGGCCAUACACAGUUUGUAGAAUCUGUCACUUCAGCAAACCAGAUGGAAUCGGAUGACUUGCAAAUGGAUGACACUGGUGGUGAAAUAAAAGUAGUCAGAAGUACUGCCUCUAGGAAGGGGCAGAUACCCCUUGAUUACCUGCUUCAAAUCACCUUUCAUGUUUUAUUGUUGGAAAUACCCGGUUCGAGGAUCACCUCAUUACCUAUUGCAAAAAUGGAAACAGAUGAAGACAUGGCGAAUGCCAUGAUGGUGCAUUCCACCAGCUUCAGGGAGCACGGCUUCGAGACAGCUGUGCUUAACAGCCUGAAAUCAGCAAAGAUUAAACCCACCCUCCUUGUCUCCGCUGCUCCUUAAAUCAGUGCAACCCCUCCAAAUUAAUGUGAAUUGAAACAUGCAUUGCCUUUCAACUUAAUUGAGUACUUAUUAUGUGUGAAUCAGUGCACAAAAUAAGGGAGAGAAAAUGAGUGAGACAAAAACAUGUGGAGCUUGCUUUUAAUGAAUUUACUAUUAGUUUCAGGAUGCAUAUUGUGUUCUUUUGUUUGUAAUUAGGUAUGUCCCUAAGACAAAAAACAAAUGAACAGAAAAGUGUUCUGUAUUUUAAGCCCCAUUAAUGAAAAAUAAAACACAACAACAACAACAACAACAGCAAACCUGUACUGUGAACAACUGGGGCUUUUUAAAAUUCUAUUUUUGUUCUUGUUCUUCAAGUUCUGAGAGAUACGAUCCAUUGUAUUUUGUAUUAUUUUUGUGGUGCUGAGAUAGGAUCCCUUUUAUUGAUCCCAUAAAUAUUUAAUAGGUUUUCGAGACAGUAAUAUAAUAUAGUUUGAGUUAGUUUGCAUUGAAUUCCAGUUUUUUUCCUUUAGGUGUAGGUUGUCUGCUGGAAAAUAUAUUGAUUGUAUAUUCCUUGGGGGUAGGAAGGUGAAUCACACCUGCUGUCUGUGGGGAUCUACUUUCCAAGCCCUGGGCCCCACCAUUUGGAGUGAGUGAUUAGCUAGAAGAGGAGGAUCUUGUGCCAUCUUGGGGGUGACACUCAUGGGCUCAGCAUUGCACAGGGAGGGGGCAAAACACAUCUGGGCAAUGAUUCUGUAUGAAAUAUGACUAAAUAAUUUUUUCAGUAUUCAUUGCAUUGUUCUUUUUGUUCCAUAAAUUGGGUGACUUUGCAGUUUUUCUAAAGAUUUAUUUCUGAGCUGAAAAUAAGUGUAAGUGAUAAUUUUUCCAGUGUUAUGAUAUUGACAUGACUGUAGCCACUAGACAUUUUAUGUAGUAUCUGUGACACAUAUUAGUAUGUAUGAGCCAACAAUAGACAUGUCUUUGUCUUGAGUAGUGUCCAUCUGAAUAGAAAAUGAACCAGCUUUUCUUUUUUGACAUCAUCAACAGACUUCUUAAUUAAGCUGCCAAUAUAUACUGCCAAUAACACUAUGUGCUAUUUGAGAAAUGAAUAGUGUAAGUGCUGUUUCUAUCUUAUUAAAUAAACAAUGAUGCUCCAUAUAUAAUAGAUUUUAAGUGUUCUUUGAAUGGGAUAGAAUAUUGCUCCCUACACAAUUUGAUGAGAUUUCUCAUACCAUCUCUUUCAAUUUAAUU